rnacentral:tRNA from 1 species
GCCUCGGUAGCUCAGUCGGCAGAACGCGUGCCUUUUAAGCCCGUGGCCGCGGGUUCGAGCCCCGCCCGAGGUG